GAGCGAGCGGAACCAGCAGAAUCACUUCGGUGAGGACGCUGGGAAAGUGAGCGGCGGAUGGGUGAGUAACACGUGGGGAACCUGCCCUUAAGUCUGGGAUACCACUUGGAAACAGGUGCUAAUACCGGAUAAGAAAGCAGUUCGCAUGAACAGCUUUUAAAAGGCGGCGCAAGCUGUCGCUAAAGGAUGGACCCGCGGUGCAUUAGCUAGUUGGUAAGGUAACGGCCUACCAAGGCAGUGAUGCAUAGCCGAGUUGAGAGACUGAUCGGCCACAUUGGGACUGAGACACGGCCCAAACUCCUACGGGAGGCAGCAGUAGGGAAUCUUCCACAAUGGACGCAAGUCUGAUGGAGCAACGCCGCGUGAGUGAAGAAGGUUUUCGGACCGUAAAGCUCUGUUGUUGGUGAAGAAGGAUAGAGGUAGUAACUGGCCUUUAUUUGACGGUAAUCAACCAGAAAGUCACGGCUAACUACGUGCCAGCAGCCGCGGUAAUACGUAGGUGGCAAGCGUUGUCCGGAUUUAUUGGGCGUAAAGCGAGCGCAGGCGGAAGAAUAAGUCUGAUGUGAAAGCCCUCGGCUUAACCGAGGAAUUGCAUCGGAAA
rnacentral:rRNA from 1 species